rnacentral:rRNA from 1 species
UACGUAGGGGGCAAGCGUUGUCCGGAAUCAUUGGGCGUAAAGAGCGUGUAGGCGGCCCGGUAAGUCCGCUGUGAAAGUCCAGGGCUCAACCCUGGGAUGCCGGUGGAUACUGUCGGGCUCGAGUCCGGAAGAGGAGUGUGGAAUUCCUGGGUGUAGCGGUGAAAUGCGCAGAUGAUCAGGAGGAACACCAAUGGCGAAGGCAGCACCCUGGGAC